rnacentral:rRNA from 1 species
UACGUAGGUGGCAAGCGUUGUUCGGAAUUAUUGGGCGUAAAGGGCGCGUAGGCGGUUUGUUAAGUCAGCUGUGAAAGCCCGGGGCUCAACCCCGGAGGGUCAGCUGAUACUGGCAGGCUAGAGUACAGAAGAGGUAACUGGAAUUCCCGGUGUAGCGGUGAAAUGCGUAGAUAUCUGAAGGAACAUCAGUGGCGAAAGCGACUUCCUGGACCAAUACUGACGCUCAUGUGCGAAAGCGUGGGGAGCAAACAGG